rnacentral:rRNA from 1 species
UACGUAGGUGGCGAGCGUUAUCCGGAAUGAUUGGGCGUAAAGGGUGCGCAGGCGGCACGGCAAGCCGGCGGUCAAAUCGCGGGGCUCAACCCCGCCCAGCCGUCGGAACUGCCGGGCUAGAGUGGGCGAGAAGUGCGCGGAAUGCGUGGUGUAGCGGUGAAAUGCAUAGAUAUCACGCAGAACUCCGAUUGCGAAGGCAGCGCACCGGCGCCCUACUGACGCUCAGGCACGAAAGCGUGGGUAUCGAACAGG